CCUGCGGGAGGCAGCAGUGGGGAAUAUUGGACAAUGGGGGGAACCCUGAUCCAGCGACGCCGCGUGAGUGAAGAAGUAUUUCGGUAUGUAAAGCUCUAUCAGCAGGGAAGAAAAUGACGGUACCUGACUAAGAAGCCCCGGCUAACUACGUGCCAGCAGCCGCGGUAAUACGUAGGGGGCAAGCGUUAUCCGGAUUUACUGGGUGUAAAGGGAGCGUAGACGGCAGCGCAAGUCUGGAGUGAAAUGCCGGGGCCCAACCCCGGAACUGCUUUGGAAACUGUGCAGCUCGAGUGCAGGAGAGGUAA
rnacentral:rRNA from 1 species